UACGAAGGGGGCUAGCGUUGCUCGGAAUGACUGGGCGUAAAGGGCGCGUAGGCGGUUUGCACAGUCAGAUGUGAAAUUCCUGGGCUCAACCUGGGGGCUGCAUUUGAUACGUGUAGACUUGAGUGGGGAAGAGGGUCGUGGAAUUCCCAGUGUAGAGGUGAAAUUCGUAGAUAUUGGGAAGAACACCAGUGGCGAAGGCGGCGACCUGGUCCUUGACUGACGCUGAGGCGCCGAAAGCG
rnacentral:rRNA from 1 species